CCUACGGGUGGCAGCAGUCGAGAAUAAUUCACAAUGGGGGAAACCCUGAUGGAGCGACGCCGCGUGGGGGAAUGAAGGUCUUCGGAUUGUAAACCCCUGUCAUGUGGGAGCAAAUUAAAAAGAUAGUACCACAAGAGGAAGAGACGGCUAACUCUGUGCCAGCAGCCGCGGUAAUACAGAGGUCUCAAGCGUUGUUCGGAAUCACUGGGCGUAAAGCGUGCGUAGGCGGCUUCGUAAGUCGUGUGUGAAAGGCGCGGGCUCAACCCGCGGACGGCACAUGAUACUGCGAGACUAGAGUAAUGGAGGGGGAACCGGAAUGCUCGGUGUAGCGGUGAAAUGCGUAGAUAUCGAGAGGAACACUCGUGGCGAAGGCGGGUUCCUGGACAUUAACUGACGCUGAGGCACGAAGGCCAGGGGAGCGAAAAGGAUUAGAUACCCCAGUAGUC
rnacentral:rRNA from 1 species